AUUUAUAUAGUUUAAUAAAAACCUUAUAUUUUCAAUAUAAAAUUAGAAAUACUCUUAUAAAUUUAUA
rnacentral:tRNA from 1 species